CUUAACACAUGCAAGUCGACRGUAACAGGGGGUGCUUGCACCCCGCUGACGAGCRGCRGACRGGUGAGUAAUGCAUAGGAAACUGCCCAGUAGUGGGRGAUAGCCCRRGGAAACCCGGAUUAAUACCGCGUACGCCUUCRGGGGAAAGCAGGGGAUCUUCGGACCUUGCGCUAUUGGAUGUGCCUAUGUCGGAUUAGCUAGUUGGUGGGGUAAAGGCCUACCAAGGCGACRAUCCGUAGCUGGUCUGAGAGGAUGAUCAGCCACAUCGGRACUGAGACACGGCCCGAACUCUACGGGAGGCAGCAGUGGGGAAUAUUGGACAAUGGGGGCAACCCUGAUCCAGCCAUGCCGCGUGUGUGAAGAAGGCUUUCGGGUUGUAAAGCACUUUCAGUGAGGAGGAAAACUCUGCGACUAAUACUCGUAGGGCUUGACGUUACUCACAGAAGAAGCACCGGCUAACUCCGUGCCAGCAGCCGCGGUAAUACGGAGGGUGCAAGCGUUAAUCGGAAUUACUGGGCGUAAAGCGCGCGUAGGUGGUUUGAUAAGCGAGAUGUGAAAGCCCCGSGCUUAACCUGGGAACGGCAUUUCGAACUGUCAGGCUAGAGUAUGGUAGAGGGUAGUGGAAUUUCCUGUGUAGCGGUGAAAU
rnacentral:rRNA from 1 species